rnacentral:rRNA from 1 species
AUGUAUGUCGUAUAUAUAAGCACACGCCACAAAAGACAUUCGCCAUCGUUAACAAUGCCCGGGAAGCCCUGCACUCUCACGAUCUUGCUCUUGGCGGCGUCCGCCCUCGCCGCGGCGGCGGCGGCGGAGUCCGCCAACAUCGCCGUCUACUGGGGUCAGAACGCCACCGAGGGCACGCUCAGGGACACAUGCGGCACCGGGCUCUACGCGUACGUCAACCUCGCGUUCCUCUCCAUCUUCGGCGCCGGCCGUGCUCCGGUCCUCAACCUCGCUGACCACUGCGACCCCCCUUCGGGGACUUGCGCGUCUCUCGCCGCUGACAUCGCGUCAUGCCAGUCCGCCGGCGUGAAGGUGCUGCUCAGCAUGGGCGGCGGCGCGCUCGGGUACAACCUGUCCUCGCCCUCCGACGCGCAGGACGUGGCAACCUACCUAUGGGACAACUUCCUCGGCGGCACCGUCGCCGGCGCCGCCGCGCCCCGCCCGCUCGGCGACGCGGUGCUGGACGGUGUCGACUUCGACAUAGAGGCCCCGUCUCUGUACUACGACGACCUCGCCAGGAGCCUGACGUCGCUGUACAAGGGCGACACCGGCGGCAAGAAGUACAUGCUCACCGCGGCGCCGCAGUGCCCGUUCCCGGACACGUCUCUCAAGACCGCGCUCGCCACGGGGCUGUUCGACCGCGUGUGGGUGCAGUUCUACAACAACCCGCCGUGCCAGUUCGCGCACGGAGACGCGGGCACGCUGCAGAGCGCGUGGGGGCAGUGGACGGCGGCUCUGCCGUCGGCGAGCGUAUACCUCGGCCUGCCGGCGUCGCGGGAUGCCGCCAGCAGCGGGUUCGUCGACGCGGACACGCUCGUGUCGCAGGUGCUGCCGCUGGUGGAAGGCGCGCCCAAUUACGGCGGGGUCAUGCUGUGGAGCCGCUCCUACGACAAGGACUCCGGCUUUAGCGUCAAGCUGCAGAGCAACUUGCAAAACCGGAACAAAAACACAGGGAACGGCGCAUCGUCAGAUUACAAAAGGAGAAUAUAUAUAAUAGUAGGAGUCAUUGGUGGCAUCUUCCUGCUGCUCCUGCUUCUUACCACUUGUUUCAUCUGCCAUAAGAAAUACCGUGGCUUGUCGCCUCCUGUGGAGGGAUCGACCACCCCUCCAAGCAAAGAGCCAUCUGAGCCAAAACUGGGAGCUCAUCAUCCAAAAAGAUACACUUAUUCUGAAGUGGAAAGGAUGACAAAGACCUUUGCUCACAGGCUCGGCCAAGGCAGCCAUGGCGAUGUCUACAGAGGCAACCUCCGCGAUGCGCGGCAGAUCACAGUGAAGGUGCUGAAGAACUGCAAAGGCGGCAGCAAGGACUUCGUGAAGGAGGUCGAGAGCAUCGGCGCAAUAUCUCACGCCAACGUCGCUCCUCUGCUAGGGUUUUGCUUGCAGGGUUCAACGAGGGCCCUGAUAUACGAGUACAUGCCCAACGGCUCCCUGGAAAGCUAUGCUCUCAGCAGCGACGAUUCCGUAGAUGAGAACUACUCGCUAUGGCUGUACUGGGAGAAACUGUUCGACAUCACCAUCGGCGUGGCGCGAGGUCUUGACCAUCUCCACGGCGAUGAGAGUGCUAACGGCAUGCACAUCAGCAUCAAACCCCGGAACAUUCUGCUGGAUCAGGAGCUAUGCCCCAAGAUAUCUGAUGUUGGUGUGGCAAACCUAUGCGAAACAUCUACUCGUGGUGUGAGGGAGAGAGAUGACUACGACGCACCUGAGGUGGUGUCCAGGAGAUUCGGACCGGUCACUAGCAAGUCCGACGUGUACAGCUACGGCGUGAUGGUCCUGGAGAUGGUCAGGGCAAAGAGACACGUCAAGGUUGGUGCUGACACGACCAGCAAGUAUUUCGCCCAGUGGCUCUACGAGCACCUGGAUGAGUUCUGCAACAGCGUUUCGGACGUCAACGGCGACACCAGAGAGCUUGUGAGGAAGAUGAUCAUAGUCGGGCUGUGGUGCUCUCAGACCGCGCCGGCGAGUCGGCCGUCGAUGAGCGCAGUCGUCGAGAUGCUGGAGAGAAGCAGCGCGGAGCUGGAAUUGCCGAGAAGAACCUCAUGA